GGAAGCUGGGUUGCCCCGUGGAAAACUUGAUUGCUGCAGAGAUGGAGACACUUGUUUAUCGACAGUAACAGUGGCUCCAAGCUGCGCUGAAUUACUUCUAAUCAGCUCAUGUGUGAUGCUAAUUAGCACAUUGUUUGUGCCGACUUCUCUGCUCAUAAUGAUGACUGUCUUGGAGCAGUCCCUGUCCUUCACUUGAAGGACUCCUCAUAAUGAUCAUCAAUUUGAAUACUCCUUGGAUUCACACGAUAUAUUUUACCUGGAGUGUUUAACGGAGGAAAAAACGAGUUUUCAUUCGUCAAAAUGAGGCCCUUCAGAGACAACGAAAAGCAGAUGGAGCAGAGUUCCUGUUUGCAUUGACAACAUUGACUGGGAAAUGCUGAUUUGUAGCCUAUUCAGGCUCGAUCUGAACCUUUUAGCCCUGAAGUAUUUUUAUUCCGAUACUUCUUUUCUUUUUGUCUUGCUUGUCUUUUAACCUUUAUCAGAACUCGAGAGACACA